rnacentral:lncRNA from 1 species
GCCUUCUCCAGUCAUCAGGAAAUUACAAACCAAACCCAUAAUGGAAUGUGAUCACACACCCAUUAGAAAAGCUAAAAUUAAACACACUGACCACAUCUUUCUCCUAACAAAAAGACUUCUCCUCAUGAUUAAGUCAGCUGAGGCAAAGAUGCAAUCCUUUUGAAGAAAGCAACAUAUAUAUUAAUGACUAUUGCCAAGAGUUUUGCUCCUGCACAGCUUUUGAAAGAUUUAGAAACAGAUAUGGGUGGAUAUUUUUCAAGAGAAAGCUUUAUGUCUCUAAUUCCCAGAUCUAUUCUCAAAUCUGAUUCAAUGGACAUGAGUCUGAGUAAACUCUGGGAGUUGGUGAUGGACAGGGAGGCCUGGCGUGCUGCAGUCCAUGGGGUCGCAAAGAGUCAGACAUGACUGAGUGACUGAACUGAACUGAUUCUCAAAUCAUAGCCCCAGCCCUGAGUAUGAACAUUUUGUUUGCUUACAUGACCAUGCCUUAAAAUGAGUGUAUUUAUUCUGGUUUGCAGAGUUUGGAAGGAGCGAGUCGGGCCAGUUGGAUUUGAAGGUGUGUGGUCCAUGCACUCAGACUGGAUUCCAAACAGUGUACAAGCUGAAGAUCAGACCUGGCUGCCCCUAACCCCAGAGGCCUGGAGAGGAGUGGCUGGUUCUUGCCAGAGACAUGGAAGCAGAAAGAUGAGAGAGAAGCAAGGACGUGGUCCUGGGGCAUCUCCUUGAUGUGCUUAUUUCUGGGCCAUUAAUUAACUUCACAAAGUGUUUGCAGAAAGUGAAAGGUGUGCACGCGUGUACACAUUCUCGGGACUUACCUGGUGCAGGGUCUGGACUGGAUGGAGGGAAACACGAGGUAAAUCUGAAGAGGAAGAACCACCGAGGACUAUAGAAAUUUUUCAGGGGAAAGAAAAGGUGGCAGAGAGCGUGGAGCUCCCAGCCGGUGAAAUUGAGGUUUGAGUCCCUAACUUCCAAGUCGACCAGCAUGCAGUGCCAAGGGACAGCCAGGAGGUGGCGCUGCAGCGCUUCAUUUAUCCAGGUUCCUCCGAGGUCUGUGCUUUGAGGUCUUUUGUUAUGUUUUAUUUUGGUGUUUUGCUUGCCAUGUGUGUGUGAAUUUUGUGUCUGCACUCCAGUAUUCUGGCUUGGAGAAUCCCAUGGACUGUCUAGUCCAAGGGGUCGCAAAGAGUCGCGGACUAGACUGAGCAACUUUCAUUUUCACUUUCCUGUCCUUGAACAACCUGUACCCGCCUACCUUCUUUUCAG